UACAGAGGGGGCAAGCGUUGUUCGGAAUUACUGGGCGUAAAGGGCGCGUAGGCGGCCUGCUAAGUCGAACGUGAAAUCCCUGGGCUCAACCCAGGAACUGCGUCCGAUACUGGUUGGCUUGAAUCCGGGAGAGGGAAGUGGAAUUCCCGGUGUAGUGGUGAAAUGCGUAGAUAUCGGGAGGAACACCAGUGGCGAAGGCGACUUCCUGGCCUGUUCUUGACGCUGAGGCGCGAAAGCGUGGGGAGCAAACAGG
rnacentral:rRNA from 1 species